rnacentral:misc_RNA from 1 species
GAUGAAGAACGCAGCGAAAUGCGAUAAGUAAUGUGAAUUGCAGAAUUCAGUGAAUCAUCGAAUCUUUGAACGCACAUUGCGCCCGCCAGCAUUCUGGCGGGCAUGCCUGUUCGAGCGUCAUUUCAACCCUCGAGCCCCCCCGGGGGCCUCGGUGUUGGGGGACGGCACACCAGCCGCCCCCGAAAUGCAGUGGCGACCUCGCCGCAGCCUCCCCUGCGUAGUAGCACACACCUCGCACCGGAGCGCGGAGACGGUCACGACGUAAAACGCCCAACUUCUUAGAGUUGACCUCGGAUCAGGUAGGAAUACCCGCUGAACUUAAGCAUAUCAAUAAGCGGAGGA